AGAGUUUGAUCCUGGCUCAGGAUGAACGCUGGCGGCGUGCCUAACACAUGCAAGUCGAACGUGAAGGUCUAGCAAUAGACCCGAAAGUGGCGAACGGGUGAGUAACACGUAGGUAACCUGCCGCGCAGAGGGGGAUAACGACUGGAAACGGUCGCUAAUACCGCAUGGUACCAGGGGGUGGGGACACCUGUUGGUUAAAGUGGUAGGUAAGACUACUGUGCUGCGCGAGGGGCCUGCGACCGAUUAGCUAGUUGGUGAGGUAACGGCUCACCAAGGCUGUGAUCGGUAGCUGGUCUGAGAGGAUGAUCAGUUACACGGGAACUGAGACACGGUCCCGACUCCUACGGGGGGCAGCAGUGAGGAAUAUUGCACAAUGGACGCAAGUCUGAUGCAGCAACGCCGCGUGGAGGAAGAAGGUCUUUGGAUCGUAAACUCCUUUUCUCGGGGAAGAGCAGGGACGGUACCCGAGGAAUAAGUCACGGCUAACUACGUGCCAGCAGCCGCGGUAAUACGUAGGUGGCAAGCGUUAUCCGGAAUUACUGGGCGUAAAGCGCACGCAGGCGGUUGGACAAGUUCGACGUGAAAGCUCUCGGCUCAACUGGGAGAGGUCGUUGAAGACUGUUCGACUUGAGGUUAUGAGAGGGGUGUAGAAUUCCCGGUGUAGUGGUGGAAUGCGUAGAUAUCGGGGGGAAUACCAGUGGCGCAAGCGGCACCCUAGCAUGAACCUGACGCUCAGGUGCGAAAGCGUGGGGAGCGAACGGGAUUAGAUACCCCAGUAGUCC
rnacentral:rRNA from 1 species